UGAAAAUAAAAACCCAACCACAAUACAAUUUGAAAAACAUUAACGCCGCCGUCAUAGAACAUUAAAACAAAAAAAAAAACCCAGCCGUAUUACAACACAAAACCAGCCGUAUUUACAAUUAAUAAUCCAGCCGUUGUGCAAAUCAAUGAAAAUAAACCCAGCCGUAUUACAACACAAAACCCAGCCGUAUUACAACACAAAACCCAGCCGUAUUAAAAACAACAUGAAAAGCAAUUGCUUAUAUCGGACAAGUUCUCGCAUUAUGUCCACUUUGACUGCAACGAGAACAUAUGUGCUCUUUCCUAGGACGUUUGUUUGCAAGUGCAACUUCUAAAGCAGAUUUCAUCCUAUUUUUUUUAGGUCUUCCCGGUUGUUGACGAAUAAACGGUGGAAAGCACUGUACGUUAGCCACGUUAUCUGGAACAGGUAGCGCUGAGUCAACCGGCAUGACCGAUUCAGCGUAUGCGCUAGCUAAAUAAGUGCUUUUAUAGUAAGGACUGCACAGUGAUAUACGAGAAACAUUUCUUUCCUCUGCAGCUGCGAUUGCGUGUACACAUGGUAUUUUCUCGACAUCGAAACGCCGACAUGUGCACUUUCGCUCAACCAAAUUAACAACAUUCAAAGACUCGCCAGCAGCGCCAUAUUUAACUUCAGUGUGAUGGUCAUCAAUCCUUUGAACCGUCCAAUCCCGGGAGGCACUUACACGUCCCUAUUAACAAAACCCAAUAUUCGUGAAACGGCUUACUUAUUAUUUAUAAAGCUGGCUUAUGCAAUAUAACGACUGACUUAUUAGAUUUAAAGACUGACUUAUUUUACUGUUACGACUGACUUACUUGUAAUAGUUUCUCCACACCGCGCGUGAGUGUGGUUGACUGCGAUCUGGCAUCCACUCUUCGUUCAGCAAACCAUCUGGUCAUCAUAACCCGUAUCGAUUCCAAUAUUCGAACAAUGUUAAGACCUCUAGCAUGCGAUAAUGCUCUGUUCAUUGAUUCCGCUAUGUUCGUAGUCAUCAAAUUGUACCUCUCGCCCGGGAAAUAAACACGUGUCCACAGUCUGACAUCAGCUCUUUCGAGGUAGCCGUGGAGAUCAGGAUUAAGUGCUUCAAUCUCCUCGAAAAUCAUAUCAAAGUCAGACAUUCUAAAACAUCUCGCCGCUUUCUUCACCAGCCGAAAUACAUCUUUUCCUUUGUACCGUCCCAAUAUGUUUUUAUACAAAUGAUAGGUGCAUAUUCCACGAGCAGCUAACGGAUACACAUUUGUAAUUGCUUUCCCUAUCGAGUUAUGCCUAUCUGAUAUUAUCGCAAGACCCUCCUGGUCAGGAAUCAACACUUUUAGUUGCGUAAAAAACCAAUUCCACGAAUCAUCAUUUUCAGUGUCAACCACUGCGAAGGCUAUUGGAAAAAUCUGAAAGUUACCAUCCUGAGCUAGUGCUGUGAGUAGCGUCCCUUUAUAUUUACCAUUAAGAAACGUACCGUCGACGACAACAACUUUGCGCAUGAAAGGAAACCCAUUAACGCUCGCACCAAACGCAAGAAACACAUACAUGAAUCUUCCAAGCUCAUCGAUUUGAAGACGCGUAACUGUAUUCGGAUUUGCCCUUCUUAUCAUGUAUAAGUAAGAAGGCAAGAGUUCAAAACCACACUCAGGUGUGCCCUCAUCGAUUUCCCUUGCACAUUUAAGCGUCCGGUGUGAUUUCCAAUAUUCCAUCUGCUCACAUGAAAAAACAAUUUACAUAACUCAGCCACAUCAUAUCAUUAAGACGGUCACAACGUAAACAUAACUCAACCAUAGUUUUGUAACUCAGCCAUUUCUAACAUAAAAUAACCCAGCCUAUACUCUACCAUAACUCAGCCGUUGUAACAUAAUUACCUUUACACCAAACUGCUUAGUGAUAGCUAUUCCGACACUCUCAGGGCGAACGGCCGGACCAACGUCGCCGAGAAAGUUCUUGUACAACUCUCCUAAAAUAUCCGGUGUUGCAUUUCGAGAUCGAUUAGAACGCUCAGUUACAGAACAUGCAUGAUCCGAGUCGUAAAUACGAAUAUAAAACUGCGGGGACAAUCCUUCGGUAGAUGCACGAACUCUCCAUGUACAUCCAUCAACCCAACACUUAACAACGUAUGUUGUCAGGUUUGAUAUUUCUACAUCAAAAUCAAAUUGAUGCCUCACUGUAAAAAGUUUCAGUCGUCUCUUCAAAUGCUUUUUAGUCAAGUAUCGUUGUCCUACCGCAAGGUCUAACGACGACAUCUCCAACUUCAAAACCUCCAGAUUCCCUUUAGAUUCGCUCAUCAAGAAGUUCUGAUAUCUCUUCUUGGAAGGUAGCUUUGGUGAAUCUUCGUCUUUUUCGAUAGGAGACUCACCGUAUGUGCUGAAGUUAUCAUCUUCAGAUGACGCACCGUCCGAGUCAUCGAACAUAUCAAAUCGACUUUCAAAUUCAUCAUCUUCUUCGUUUUCUUUGCCUAUUUCAUCUUUUCCGGCUACGUCGUGUAUUUCAACGUUACUAAAGCAGUCAUUCUCAAUUUCAUCUUGUUCAUCCUCCAAACUGCAACCAUCGUAACUCCCAUUCUCUAUAGACUCAACUUCUAAAGCUUCUUCUUCUAAAGCUUCUUCUUCUGAAGCGUCUUCUUCUGAAGCUUCUUCUUCUGAAGCGUCUUCUUCUGAAGCUUCUUCUUAUGAAGCUUCUUCUUCUGAAGCUUCUACGUCUGAGCUGUCAUCCUUUUUCUCUGUAAUCUCCACACAGAGACGUAGUUGUUCGCUUUUCUUUAAGCUUAGAAAACAUUGCAAUUGUCGAGUGUUGGACACGUAAACUGGUGGAGUGUUGUGCGCCAUUGUUUUCAAUGUUUUAUUCGAAAACAUGUAGCUAAGCAGAAUAUGAACCUUCAAAUCAUUCAAACCGUAAUCGUCGAUGACAGACUUUGUGAAAUCUUCAAGUUUAGUUUUCUCACCUAAAUGAAGAACUCUACACCCUCUACUGUCGACGUUGAAUACAUAUGGCUUUUUCAUAAUCCAUUUACCGGAAACAAUAAUAACGGGAUCCAUUACCAUAUGAGAAAGAUGAAGAGGACAGAUAACUGAGAUGAUGAAGAAGAAAAGAAAGGCUGUGUAAUCAUUCAAAAAUAAGAUGAAGAAGACAACUGAAAGGUCUCGUAACUCAGUUGUAAAUUGGGCGACCGUUAGUGAUGACAUGUCAAAUCCGAGUUGAUGACAUGGCAGAUGACAUGGAACAUCGAUUAAUCAGCCGACAAACAAAUCCGUAACUCAGCCAAAAUAAGUCAGCCAUCAUGUUUACACUUUGUCAGCCGAUACAUGGAAACAUUCUAGUAAUUAAUCUUUUGACGGUAAGUCAGCCGCAAUAAGGAUGAACAACCAUAUGUCAGCCGUAUCGUUACGUAAAUCAGCCAUCAAACGAGAACAUUCUAGUAAUUAAUCUUUCGCUCAUACGUCAGCCGCAAAGCAGCUGAGUUUACUGUUUAUCCAUGCUUUAACGGCUGACUAAUACAAACCCAGUCGUAACAGCAUCCCAUAACUCAGCCGUGGCUUCAAUAACCCAGCCCAUCCAUGUUCCUUUACUCAGCUGAAAAAAAGUUUCUCAGCCGUUUCUUAACCACGACUCAGCCAAAUUUUCCAGAAAUCAAACCGCCGAUGUAUAAGUCAGCCGUCAUUUGUAUCAUUAAGUCAGCCGUGAUCACAUAACUCAGCCGGAUUUCUGUAAAUCAGUUGUAUCGGCAAGCUGACUUAUAGUUUUAAGUCAGCCACUUUCACUUAAGUCAGUCGUAUGUAUUAAGUUAGCCGUAACGUAAAGAUAAAUCGGCCGUAACUACGUAUCUAUCGCUUAACAGCUGACUUAAUGAAAAUACGGACGCGAAUUCCUCCGUGGCGCCGGUUUUUUGCCUACGUGGCAGCGAAAAGUAAUGGCAUUCUCGUAAAUACGUUUUUUCUCAUAACGUAAAAAAAGGGUACGCUUGGUAUCGAAAAUAUUCUAGUAAUAAAAAAAAGAUCUGUAUCAUUCUAGUCAAUACACCUAAAAUAUGUAACAUUCUAGUAAACUUCCCUUGUAUUUAUCCUCUUUUGUGUCCUCUCUAUCUAAGUAGAUGUACAACUGCAGCUGAUAACCAAUAUAGCUUUGCCUUAACCACCAGCUUGGUUUUGGCUGCCACUAAGUAAGAUAUAAUUAGAUGAUAAAAACUGCCACUACGUUGAUACGUAAGCGAGCUCAAUCAAUAACACUUAUAUUGGUACGUAUCUCACAUAAGGAGCUGCAUCACUUCCUAGUCUUACUCCCUUGCCUCCAACUAUUUGUCAGCAAUAAUCAGUGGCUUGUUUAAGCCCUUUUAAGUGCAAUCAUCAAAAGAAUCAACUCUCAAUCUCGACUAUUCUCUUGUAAAUGAAUAAAGAAAAAAGACAAACAUAUUGCAAGACUUACCCAAUGGAAACAGCUAGGAAGAUCAGAGAUGGAGGAACUUGAUGCACCGUUACAAAUGAUGAACCUCAAUCAUUACCUUGUAUGGGUUCUGAAGUUCAUAAAAGCUUCAACUACUAUCUCAUUCUCCAUACUUUUCGUGAUGGACCAACAUCGCCUAACAAAACUUACAAACUCAAUAUACGUUUUUCUUGGUUAUAUAUGAGUAUACAAUAACUAAUAAAGGUAUAGAGACAUUCAUUUGAAUGAAGAAAUAAAACACAUUACCUUUUCCAAUGUUCUUGGCUGAGAUAAGCCAUGCUAGCCCAAAACUGAGUAGUGGUGAGCAGAUUCAAAAACCGAGCAACAUCAUCUAACAUAACUCCAUGCACAGUAGAGUUGCAAUACUCUGAUGAUAAGCAGUAAAUAUUUGAUGGUAGAAAAACGCUGCAAUAGUCUGAACCUUUAGGUUCUGAAACAAACAAAGGAAACAUUUUUACCUUUUAUCAAAAGCCAUUUCUUUGACUUCGCCAUGUCUUUUUUUUUCUAUCUUCUUCAUCCUUUCUUUUUAUGGCCUCUACGGUUCCAAACCAUCAUACUUGUGCUUCUUCUGGGCCAGCUAAAAGACAAAAAAAUGGAAGUGAAUUUGUAAGUUAAAAUGUAGAUACCAAAAACAAAACCUUCGCAGCAGGAAAAGACAUAGAGGAAGCAAUCUGUUCUUCAAUUGAUGAAUCAAUGAGUAAACAAUAAGCUUUCCUUACGGAAACUAAAUGGUUGAAUAAGUUGUGCAAGAGAUCUCUACGAAAGUGUUCAGCUCCUUCCUCUAUGCUUUCCUUUUUGGCAAUCAAGACCUUGUUGGCAACUUUUGUGUCUGUCUCUUAAGAUAUUCAAACUAAGUCUCACACUGGAGAAUUAGACAAAAAGUGUCUAAUAUAUUAAAAGAUAUCCAACUCUAAUUAUUAGGCAUUUUGGGAAUGAACUCAAAAAUAUAAAUCCAUGCGGGCUAGCCUCUUUGGCUCAAAGUGGACAAUAUCAUACUAAUCGGAUAACAUAGAGCUGGACAUGGGUUUUAACAAUCCAAAAAAUUGGUAUCAGAGCGGUUGACGAGAAGUCUGCAAGAAGAUCAUAAUACCCUUCGAGAUAUGAAUGGUAUCCUAUAAGUUAGGAAUGAGAUGUGUGUGGCAGAGAUCAAGUCAGAAGAUCAUGGAAGUUUAGUUGUGGGACACGAGAUGAGUGUGGUACUUAGUUUGAGGGGGAGAAUGAAAGAUAUUCAAACUAAAUCCCACAUUGGAGAAUUAGACAAAGAGUGUCUAAUAUAUAGAGCGAUGUCCAAUUCUAAUUAGUAUGAGACCUUUUGGGAAUGAACCCAAAAGUAAAUCCAUGCGGGCAGCCUCUUUCGCCCAAAGUAGACAAUAUCAUACUAAUCGGAUAAUAUAGAGUUGGACAUAGGCUUUAACAAUCUCAACAGUCUCUGCUGGAUAUACAACAAAAAAUCAUGGCUUUCUUAGAAUACAUAUUUAUAACACAAAACAAAAGUUUUUAAUCAGAAAGAACGUCAAUUAAAUGGUUGCCUAAAUAUCUCUAUAUUUUUUUUUGGUUUUAGAGAAGAUGGUUUCGAGAGAAGCUUACCUAUUUAUACUCUUAGCUAGACCGCCUCGCCAAGGAGAGAUCGCAUUCAAGGCUAUAUCGUGGAUGCUUGGAUAAAUAAGAGAUUAAAAACGAUGAAGAAACAACUUGGAAGCAUUUCAGAGAAACAUGCGAAGAUCAGAAGUCGCUUCCGUACAUUGAAGAUAGACGAACCCUAAUCUCUAUCAGUCGCGUAAAGCACAAUUAGGGUCAGAUCUAUUGGGGCUAUCAGGCCGUAUACCCGUCAAAUCAUAAGCACAUACAGUUUAUAGAGCUUAUAAACACGGCAUAAGAAAGGUAACGAAUUAAUUAAGACCAAAAACACAUUGUCUUGCGAGUUAAUGAUACGGUGAAGAUUGUGGAGAGCGGACACGUGUCGCGCUGUGGUUUAACGACUUUCUGACCUGGAAUCUGAUGUGGAGCCUUCAGGAGUGAGCAAACUCAACUUUAUAUAUAAAGAUAUUCAACUCUGAUUAGUACAAGGCAUUUUGGGAAGGAGUCCAAAAACCAAAUCAUGCGGGCUUUGCCUUUGGGCCCAAAAUGGACAAUAUCAUACUAAUUAUUCGCGGAAGAACUGGACAUGGGCAUUGAAAAAGCCCAACAAUUGGUAUCAGCCAGGUUGAUGAAACUUGUGUCAAAAGUCUCUCCUUAAUGACGAUACAAAUAUUAGGUGGAUAUUCCUAAUGGUGCUACAAGGAUUAGGUGGUGAAUGUUAAUGGUGCAACAAGGGUUAGGUGAAUAAAUCCUAAUGGUGUAACAAGGAUUAGGUGAAGAGUCCCGUUGGUGAUUAUGGCGGUACAAGAUGUGUACCAGGUUUCGCUAAAGGCUGGAGCCAAGGGUUUUUCGUGGUAUUUGGUUUGAGAGAAGGUUUGUUGUGAAUGCAAACAAAGUCUCACAUUGAAAAUUUAGACAAAUAUUGUAUAGUAUAUAAAGAGAUGUUCAAUUUUGAUUAGUACGAGGCCUUUUGAGAUUAAAAAUUUAGACAAAUAAUGUCUAAUAUAUAAAGAGAUGUUCAACUCUGAUUAGUACGAGGCCUUUUGGGAAGGAGCUCAAAACCAAAUCCAUGCGGGCUUUGCCUUCGGGCCGUGGACGAUAUCCAAUGUGAGACUUUGUAUGCAUUCACAACAAGUUAGGAGAGGGACUGAAAAAAGCUGAGCACUUGACAAACAAGAGACGCACGGUUAUUACUAGUACUGCAUCAUGAUCUGUGCAGCCGUCAAACUACCACUCGAUCCACUUCUAUUGAGGAUCUGGCUUACUUCAUGUGUCAUCAUCUUGACCACAUGCCCCUCUUUAUCCACAUCGAGUGCACACUGCACUUGUUGCUAUUGUAUGAGUGAUUCCAUCAUCACUCUCUUCAUGAUCACUUUGCAUCACUUUUUCGACGCACUUUGAUAUUUGUACCAUGAACAACUUCUUCUUCUGGCUCCAUAAUUAAUGCUUCUUGAUCUAUGUGAAAACUAACUCUGACAGAGUUGCAUCCUUCUUCUGAUGUUUUUUCUUUUAUCUUAUCAAGCGAGCCACACUUGGCUAACAACACCUUUUCAAUCCUCUUGGAUUCAAUGAACGCUUUAUUCAUCCUCUUGGAUUCAAUGAACGCUUUAUUCAUCCUUUUAGACAUGUUUCUUCUCUUCUGACGAGCUACACAGUCUACCUUUGUGUAUCCAACCUUCCCACAGAACCAACAGCACAUCCAAUAUCAUUUCUUGUUUCUGCGGUAUUAUAUGCAUUACUCAAAAGAGAAGCUGGGCAAGUACUGUGGGUCGCCUAGAUCUACCUUGAAGUGUGACUGGAGCAGCAACAAUAGCUACAUUGAUGACAAGAAUGACGAAGGAGUCUAGCAUAACUUUAUCCAAACAAUUUUUGAACUCUCUGUUCUUGCAUUUUUUUAAUAUAAAUAAUGAAUAAUGACUUGUGAA